UACGUAGGGGGCAAGCGUUGUCCGGAUUUAUUGGGCGUAAAGAGCGUGUAGGCGGCCUGAUAGGUCAGCUGUGAAAACUCGAGGCUCAACCUCGAGACGUCGGUUGAAACCAUCUGGCUAGAGUCCGGAAGAGGAGAGUGGAAUUCCCGGUGUAGCGGUGAAAUGCGCAGAUAUCGGGAAGAACACCCGUGGCGAAGGCGGCUCUCUGGGACGGUACUGACGCUGAGACGCGAAAGCGUGGGGAGCGAACAGG
rnacentral:rRNA from 1 species